GCCCUACGGGGGAAAAAUUUAUUGCUAUUAGAUGAGCCUAUAUUAGAUUAGCUAGUUGGUGGAGUAAUAGCCUACCAAGGCAAUGAUCUAUAGCUGAUCUGAGAGGAUGAUCAGCCACACUGGAACUGAGAUACGGUCCAGACUCCUACGGGAGGCAGCAGUGGGGAAUAUUGGACAAUGGGCGAAAGCCUGAUCCAGCCAUGCCGCAUGAGUGAAGAAGGCCUUUGGGUUGUAAAGCUCUUUUAGUGAGGAAGAUAAUGACGGUACUCACAGAAGAAGUCCUGGCUAACUCCGUGCCAGCAGCCGCGGUAAUACGGAGAGGGCUAGCGUUAUUCGGAAUUAUUGGGCGUAAAGGGCGCGUAGGCGGAUUAGUAAGUUAAAAGUGAAAUCCCAAGGCUCAACCUUGGAAUUGCUUUUAAAACUGCUAAUCUAGAGAUUGAAAGAGGAUAGAGGAAUUCCUAGUGUAGAGGUGAAAUUCGUAAAUAUUAGGAGGAACACCAGUGGCGAAGGCGUCUAUCUGGUUCAAAUCUGUCGCUGAGGCGCGAAGGCGUGGGGAGCAAACAGGAUUAGAUACCCUGGUAGUCCACGCUGUAAACGAUGAAUGUUAAAUAUGGGAAGUUUUACUUUCUGUAUUACAGCUAACGCGUUAAACAUUCCGCCUGGGGACUACGGUCGCAAGAUUAAAACUCAAAGGAAUUGACGGGGACCCGCACAAGCGGUGGAGCAUGUGGUUUAAUUCGAUGCAACGCGAAAAACCUUACCACUCCUUGACAUGGAAAUUAUACCUAUUCGAAGGGAUA
rnacentral:rRNA from 1 species